GGGAGCCACUCCAGAAGGAUGUGCGUACCCAGGAGCGGAGCGCCGCGGGUGUGCUGGGCGCCGGUGGAGGGGGAAACAGCGAGGAUUAGACGCCGGGAAGCACUUCCCCAACAUCUGCGAGAGGUAGACACGGCGGAACCUAGUGGAAUCCCAUCAUCCCGUGCACAUCUCAUCCCAGGAGGGAGAGAGGAGCUGCCGAGCAGAAAGCAGACUGGCUGCAGGGACAGAAGACACCAAGGGCACCCUCCCCCCACAGCUAUGCCUGGACCUCCUGCAAGAAGAGGAAGCCUUAGGGGUCUUUAUUGUAUCCUCAAGACCCCAGAGAGAAACAGAAGUGCUGAGGGGUCACAGGCAGUUCUCUUACCCUCUCUGGGCCUCGAAUAUUUAUCCAUAGGAGGCUGAAAGUACCUGCCUCGCAACUCAUUCAUGAGGGUCAAUGGGACGACAGUGGCAAGAGGGCUUGGCACACUGCCCAGACUGUUCCAAAGCCAGGGCUGGGGCUGCCAAAAAGGCCACCUGUGCUUCACCAUGCUCCAUCCUCCCUCCCUUCCACCUCCCCAGGCCGGGCUCCACUUGUCCAGCUCUCUGACUUCCUGGCAAGGUUGAGUGGGCUCCAGCUAGGAAGGGGCCAGCUGACCUUGUUGGCCGGAGCACUAAUCCCCUCCAGAUGGGCCGGUGGCUUGCACUGAGGGCCUGGCUGCCCAGACAGAGCUGACUCUGGUCCCAGUGACCAUGUGUGGCUAUGUGUGACCGUGUGAAGGGAGCAAUUCCAUCCAGUCUCCCGGUUCCUUCCUGCUUCACUCCUCCCCACUGCUGACAUCCCCCACAAGCAGUGGCCCCAUGAAGGCCUUCUUGUCUCUAGUAGCCUCUUUUGGCUCUCUAUGUUGCUUAGCUGGGAGGCUGAGGAUGCCUGGCACAGCCGAUUCCCAAAGGCCUCAGAGGGACAGCUCCUCCCCCUGCUUCCCCCACCCCCUGUCAGCUCCAUCACUCUGCACCUGCCCUU
rnacentral:antisense_RNA from 1 species